rnacentral:rRNA from 1 species
UACGUAGGGUGCGAGCAUUGUCCGGAAUUAUUGGGCGUAAAGAGCUCGUAGGCGGCUUGUCGCGUCGGAUGUGAAAGCCCGGGGCUUAACCCCCGGGUCUGCAUUCGAUACGGGCAGGCUAGAGUUCGGUAGGGGGAGAUCGGAAUUCCUGGUGUAGCGGUGAAAAUGCGCAGAUAUCAGGAGGAACACCAACGGCGAAGGCAGCUCGCUGGGGACGGUACUGACGCUGAGGUGCGAAAGCGUGGGGAGCAAACAGG